rnacentral:lncRNA from 1 species
UCAAUCAAAUUAUUUACAAUAAUUACACAAUUAAUUAAUUUCUCUGAUAAAUAAGAGCUUGAACAAAAUGUUCAAAUAACAAAAUUACACUUGUAAUCACAUCUAGUAUAGAAGUUGCUUCCUACUGUGUUAUAAUCUUGCCCCAACUUGCACGCCAAUGGGACCCUCCAAUAAAUCUGUUAGAAUUGACUCUGUAUCAAUGAUAUCUCAUCAUCUAUACAUAACGAAUUUGUGUUGUAUAUUCAUAUCAUAACGUAUGAACAGUAAGAACUAACAUUCUUAUUAAGAUUAAAACUCAUAGAAAAGAAAAUAAAUUUAUGGAUGAAAUUAAUGAAAGGACAUCAAUUCAAAUUCUAUAUUUUCGAAUUAAGAGAAAUAUUGAGAGAGAUCAAUAAUUUUUAUUAUUUCUUAUAUUCAUGGACCCGAUUCAAUUUAGUAGAACUUGAAGUCGAGACAUUAUUGUUGUUGCUACUCCUCCAAAAAGUAUACUAUAAAAUCAUCUUAAAAUAAAACAGUUUCAAUUUUUACUCAUAUAGUUUAUGAGUUCUAUGGUGAAUUUUACUUUGUCUAAGACAGUUUCAAUUUUUGAUAGUAUCUUUUAACUUGAUGGUGGACUUGUUUGAUUUUGAGAUAUGCUUUGUUCUUGUUAGAAAAUAAUUAAUUGAAUAACUAGUCAAAAGCUUAUUAUUUCUUGAUCGUUGAACACUUUGGAUAACUUUGAAGGGAGAAUCUCGAUUUGCAAAGAAUACUUAGAUCUUUUGAAACAUCUAAGAUGAUUAUAGAACUUACUCGAUUUUUGGUUGAUUUGGAGGAAUAACAAGAAAGAUCUAUGUCUUGCUCUUGAAAAGAAGAUGCCAAAUAAAAGGCUUCAUCUUGUUAAUAAGGAAUAAGACUUUAUAAUAGUAAAGACCAAAAUAAGUGCUUUUUUUUUACCGUACAGAAGAGAUGUUGUGGUGUUAUCGGAUUUCAUUUGAAAUUUUUAGGACGUUCUAUCUAUGAUUGCAUUUGGGACUCUAGUGAAGUACUACGAUAGGAGACGAGCUGCCAUUAACACUCUUGAAUCUUCUAAAAUGUCCUUGCUAAAGAGCAAAGUUGUUGUCAUGCUGUUUUAACUUCUAGAAAAGGUAAAUGUUAUUGUGAAGAGAAAGGGGGUCAUCAUACACUAACGAAUUUGCUAGCGGAGGUAGUAGGGGCUAUUACAUUGCAUGAGGAACAUUAUCUAUUGUCCACUCAUAGAAGUGAGCAAAAAUUGACCAAAAAUGAAAGAUCAAACAAAUAGAAUCAAUUAAGGAGAUAGAUUUGGAUUGUUCGAUUUUCUAGUUAAAUUAUUAAAAAUAAAAAAUAAUAUCUUAAUCAAUUUAAUUUAGUUUUAAAAAUUAAAAUUGAACUGAUAAAAAAAAUGCAUUAAAAUUUUUAGUUUUUUAAAAAUUACUAAUAAUUAUAUAUACAUAUAAUUAAUAAUCACAUAUAAGUACAGAUUUUUUUAAAAAAAUAAAAAUUAUAUAAAUAUAUGUACCAAUUUAAUAUUUGUACUUAUAUGUAUAAAUAAUAUUUUUAAUUAAUAUGAUUAAUUUAAUUUUAAUUAUUAUAUUAUUAAUUGAACCACCCAAGUUUGAUUUCAAUUAUUACGUAUCGUUUGAUGAGUUUAAUCAAUUCGGUUGGUUGAGUUUUCAUAAACUAUUUUAAAUUUUAAAUUUUUUUUAAAGAAACCAACAGAAUGCUACACAUGCCAAAGAGGCGACUGUACGGAGAGAACAUUGAAGAAGAAGAAGAAGAAGAUGAGAAAGUGUCGCUAUUUUAUUUUUCUAUCUAUACAUGUACAUAACAGUAUAUAUAUAUAUAUACACACGCACACGUACACACACACACACAGGCUGCAGUAUACAUAUAUAUGUAUAUAUAUGUACACACACACACACAGACACAUAAAUAUACCUCUAUAUAUGGAUAUGAGGAGACAAUGUAACUGUUUUUUUCAUUCUAUUUUCCUUUUCUCUUUACUUUUGUUUUUCUUUGGUCAAAAUUUGUCUUUUUUUUCUUUUUUCCUUUUUUCUUUUAUCAACCAGCUUUUUUUUUUAACAAAGAAAGCAUCUAUUAUCAUGACAGACAUCACUAAAUAAGAAUGAGAGGUUGUACUUACAUGAUAUGGCAAGACAAACUAUGAGUACUACUUGCCCUAUAGCCUUUUGAUAUUGGCGAGUUGGUGGAGGUCAUACUUUAAGCAUCUAAGUUUAUUUCUCAAGUCAUUUGACUUUGUUGCAAGAGAUAGAGAUGAGAGGUAUUAUAGUUCCACUAUGCGCACCAAAGUUGUAACAACAAAUUUGAUGACCAAAAUAAAUAGAAAUAAAAAUUCAUUAUAACCUAAUCAAUGUAUAAAUUAAGUGUAGAAUGGAGUACGUAUUUUGGGUUCUAAUUUUUCUUUGGAAAAACAAAUCUGUUAUUCAAUCUCAUUAAACAAAUUUUUAUUUCAAUUUCUAAAUCAUUUGAUCUUGAAUACAGGUGAUCUUCUUUGUGUACAUUUUAAGUUUGAUGGUGAACUUCAUUUGAUCUCGAAAAAUGUUAAUCUUUGGCAACAUUUUUUAUUUAAGGGUGGAUUCUCUUUAUCUUAAAAUGAUAUUUGUUCUUGAUGAAAAAUAAUCAAUUAAACAAAUAGGUGAGAACUUGUUGUUUCUUGAUUGUAUAACACUUAGGUUAAUUUCGAACGGAGAAUCUUGAUUUAUGAAGAGUGUUUGAGUCUUUUAAAGACUUUAUAAUGGUUAUAUAGAUUUUUUGACUUGUUAGUAUAUUUGGAAGAAUGAAAAAGAUGAAUACUCUUGUUCUCGGAAAGAAUACACUAAAAGAGAGGCUUAUUUUUGCUAUCAAAAGGAAGACUAUAGAAGUAGAGGCCUUAUAGAGGAGGCAUUCUUGCUUUUAGAGGCUUUUUAUAUUUUUUCUAAAAUUUUCUCUCAAUUGUCCUCCCAUAUCUUGGUGGAGGACUUCCAUUAUAAGUAGUACAUAUGGGUAGGAUUUAUUUAUUAAUCCUACAUAAAUAUGGUAAUGAGUUUCUAUCUUAUCCGCGGACUUAAUAGAAACCACAUUUAGUUAUAAUUUGACUCAUGUAAAAAUAGAAAAACUUUACAUCGUAGCUAGGUUUAAUUUAUAAAAUGAAUAUUGUGGUAAUACAUAUCCCCCUCGCGUGAUCCUAUAAGCUUAUUAAACUUGGUCUGUAAUUUUAAUUUGGUUCAUAUGAAAAUAAGCCUAACUAGGUGUUGUCAAGUAUAUUUUAGACAUAAAAUAAAGCUAAUUAAAUAUUAAUGUUUAAUUAUUUUAUUAUUUCAUUAAUUGUCUAAAUAUUUAUUUACUAGUUAAAUAAUAAUUUUGGUUAAUAUGGUAUGUUUUAUAGGAAAGAAUUCCUUUGAGGAAAGAGAAACAAGAAACAACCUAAUGCACUAGAGUUACAUCAUACAAAAAGAUACUGAGCAGACAAAAAUCCAUUCCUCAGGCUAUAAAAUAUAUUCUUCAAACAAGAAGAAAAGUAGACCGAAUCGAUGCAUAACCAUGGCUCAUUUAUAAAUUUCAUCAGAGAAGCGAAUAUGCAAAGCAAAAAAUUUAGAAUCCACAGCUAAAUCAAGCCUGUCUCUUCAAACACUAAUCAACAUUAUAACGUCUAAUUAGCAACCAUUACUGAAAAUCAAAGGUGAACAAGGACAAACAAGAUGCUAAACAAUCUAGAUUUCUCAAUCGUGAGUAUUAAAAAACCAAGAUUGAUUCUAGUUUUCUCAAACUCAAUUAUAAUCCAGAAAAAGUGAAAUGAGGAAGGAGAUUCAAUUUACCUUCUCUGCUCUUCUCCCGGCAACCGUAAAGCCAGAAAAACCAAGUUCUAUCUGCUGUAAUCACUUCCUCUUCGGUUAGCUUUGAAAAGAAACCCUAACUGAGCCCCUUCUGUCAAAACACUCUCUCUCGGUUCUCUCCAUCGCCUUUGAAAAUGAAGCUCCCUUUUAUAGUCGUAACUCCGCAUGGUCUUGCCAGCUGUAGCUCGAAUUUUGGAGCCUUUUCGGAUGAAUUCCCGCGCUCCCCCCCCUCCUGCCACUUUCUU